CGGCGUGCCUAAUACAUGCAAGUCGAACGGUCUUUUCUAUGGAAGCUUGCUUCCACUGAAAAGAUAGUGGCGAACGGGUGAGUAACACGUGGGGUAACCUGCCCAUAAGAGGGGGGAUAACAUCCGGAAACGGGUGCUAAUACCGCAUAGUUUUCUUGAUCGCAUGAUCGGGAAAGGAAAGACGGCCUUUGUGCUGUCGCUUAUGGAUGGACCCGCGGCGUAUUAGUUAGUUGGUGAGGUAACGGCUCACCAAGACGAUGAUACGUAGCCGACCUGAGAGGGUGAUCGGCCACAUUGGGACUGAGACACGGCCCAAACUCCUACGGGAGGCAGCAGUAGGGAAUCUUCCGCAAUGGACGAAAGUCUGACGGAGCAACGCCGCGUGAGUGAAGAAAAGGGUUUUCGGAUCGUAAAACUCUGUUGUCAGAGAAGAACAAGUUGGAGAGUAACUGCUCCAGCCUUGACGGUAUCUGACCAGAAAGCCACGGCUAACUACGUGCCAGCAGCCGC
rnacentral:rRNA from 1 species